UACGUAGGGUGCAAGCGUUAAUCGGAAUUACUGGGCGUAAAGCGUGCGCAGGCGGUUAUGUAAGACAGUUGUGAAAUCCCCGGGCUCAACCUGGGAACUGCAUCUGUGACUGCAUAGCUAGAGUACGGUAGAGGGGGAUGGAAUUCCGCGUGUAGCAGUGAAAUGCGUAGAUAUGCGGAGGAACACCGAUGGCGAAGGCAAUCCCCUGGACCUGUACUGACGCUCAUGCACGAAAGCGUGGGGAGCAAAAGGG
rnacentral:rRNA from 1 species